CUUGAAACACGGACCAAGGAGUCUAGCAUGUGCGCGAGUCAUUGGGAAUAACUAAACCUAAAGGCGCAAUGAAAGUGAAGGUUCGCCUUGCGCGGACCGAGGGAAGAUGGGCGUGCGCGCUUGCGUGCCGCUCCGCACUCCCGGGGCGUCUCGUUCUCAUUGCGAGAAGAGGCGCACCAAGAGCGUACACGCUGGGACCCGAAAGAUGGUGAACUAUGCCUGGUCAGGACGAAGUCAGGGGAAACCCUGAUGGAGGUCCGUAGCGAUUCUGACGUGCAAAUCGAUCGUCGGAACUGGGUAUAGGGGCGAAAGACUAAUCGAACCAUCUAGUAGCUGGUUCCCUCCGAAGUUUCCCUCAGGAUAGCUGGCGCUCGUCGCCUACGAGUCUCAUCCGGUAAAGCGAAUGAUUAGAGGCAUUGGGGUCGAAACGGCCUCAACCUAUUCUCAAACUUUAAAUGGGUGAGAUCUCCGGCUUGCUCGAACUUAUGAAGCCGCGAGACACGGAUCAGAGUGCCAAGUGGGCCAUUUUUGGUAAGCAGAACUGGCGCUGUGGGAUGAACCAAACGCCGAGUUAAAGCGCCUAAAUCGACGCUUAUGGGAUACCAUGAAAGGCGUUGGUAACUUAAGACAGCAGGACGGUGGCCAUGGAAGUCGGAAUCCGCUAAG
rnacentral:rRNA from 1 species